AAGCGAGAAGGAGCUAAGUGGUUGAGAACGACACAGGUCCUGCUCUCUCACAUUUUCCGGCGGGAACAGACACACAACAUUUACGUUCCGUUGUGACAGGUGACUUUUGGCCUAAAAAGACUCCUGUAGCCUCCUAGACCUCAUUCCACUAUUGAACUUCUGAAAGAGUGUCUUUUAAACGCGAUCCUCAGAUGAUUCAAACUGCUAAUAUUCCCACCUGAUUGCCACAAAACUACACAAUCCUACUUCUCCGCUUAGUGACUCCACACAGACAGCCGAGAAGACCGAUGGCCAUCUGACUGAGCCCACACAUGAGCUCUAGAAUCCCCACAAGCAGCAGGCCCAAGAACACUGAAAAAUGGAUCGUCCUGUGUUUGUUUUCUUUAGAACUGAAGUUCAAGCUAUAGCGUCCACCAUCACUGGCCCUGGUACCACUGAGGGUGGGAUCAGUGACCUCAGCAGGAGCCAUGCAGGACUCUCUGAAGAACCACUGUAGAUUGAAGGAUUCUGGAUGGAUGUUGCUGAAACGCAAGAAACGAGAGAAGAUAUUCAGGAAUAUCACCAUGAAGAAAGAAUGCAGCAUUGUGCUUUUUCUUACACUCAAAGAAAAGGACGAGUAUAAUAAAACACAAGUACCUCGA